rnacentral:rRNA from 1 species
CCUACGGGUGGCAGCAGUGAGGAAUAUUGGUCAAUGGGCGCGAGCCUGAACCAGCCAAGUAGCGUGAAGGAUGAAUGCCCGACGGGUUGUAAACGGCUUGUAUAAAGGAAGAAAGUGAGGCACGUGUGCCUUUUUGUAUGUACUUUAUGAAUAAGGAUCGGCUAACUCCGUGCCAGCAGCCGCGGUAAUACGGAGGAUCCGAGCGUUAUCCGGAUUUAGUGGGGUGAAAGGGAGUGUAGAUGGGUUGUUAAGUCAGUGGGGAAAGUUUGCGGCUCAACCGUAAAAUUGCAAUUGAUACUGGCAGUCUUGAGUACAGUUUAGUUAGGCGUAAUUC